rnacentral:misc_RNA from 1 species
AACGCACGAGACCUGCGGACCUGCGGAAGGAUCAUUACUGAGUUUUGAACGGGUUGUUGCUGGCCUCUAACGAGGUAUUGUGCACGCCUGGCUCAUUCCACUCUCAACCUCUGUGCACCUUAUGUAGAAGAUGGUGGAUUAAAGGGGGGUCUUACAAACUUCCGAAGCCUCUUCUAUGUUUUUACUACCAACGCUUCAGUUAAUGAAUGUUACUUUGCGAAUAAUGCAUCUAUAUACAAC